UACGUAGGGGGCAAGCGUUGUCCGGAAUUAUUGGGCGUAAAGAGCUCGUAGGCGGUUUGUUGCGUCGGCUGUGAAAUCCCGAGGCUCAACCUCGGGUCUGCAGUCGAUACGGGCAAACUGGAGUGUUGCAGGGGAGACUGGAAUUCCUGGUGUAGCGGUGAAAUGCGCAGAUAUCAGGAGGAACACCGGUGGCGAAGGCGGGUCUCUGGGCAACAACUGACGCUGAGGAGCGAAAGCGUGGGGAGCGAACAGG
rnacentral:rRNA from 1 species